GACGGGGGAUGCAAGUGUUAUCCGGAAUCACUGGGCGUAAAGCGUGCGUAGGCGGGUAUUUAAGUGAGACGUGAAAUCCUGGGGCUCAACCCUAUGGACUGUAUCUCAUACUGGAUACCUAGAGGACGGCAGAGGCAAGUGGAAUUACUGGUGUAGCAGUGAAAUGCGUAGAUAUCAGUAGGAACACCAAUGGCGAAGGCAGCUUGCUGGGCCGUUUCUGACGCUAAGGCACGAAAGCGUGGGGAGCGAACAGG
rnacentral:rRNA from 1 species